ensembl:lncRNA
GAAAAUAGUUGUAAUAACAUAGUUAAUUGUGAUAAUGUAUUAUUACCAUGCGUAGAAAGUAACAACUGCUCAUUUGUGUAUAGUUUAAAAAAAGAAAUGUUUAUUAACGAUGUAAAUGAGUAUCUAGCACAAGAUAUAGAAAUAGAUAAUUCAAAUUUACAAUAUGAAUAUGAAAUGGUAGCUUUACAUGGAUCGAAAAAAAAAAAAAGUGACAACAGACAUAAUGUUGGUGAUACGGAUGAAAGUAUAAACAAUAAUGCAUAUAAUAAUAAUCAUCAUAUUAUUGGCAACCAAAAUGGUAAUAGUGAUGGUAGUAAUAAUGAUAAUAGAAGAAGUAAUAGUAGUAGUAGUAGUAGUAGUAUUAAAGACAAUGUAAUAUUAAAUCCUUCGUCAUGUGUUACUCAUUCUGAAAGUAAUAAAAGCAUUACACAAAAUAAAAAUGCAAAUAGAAAUAAUAAAUUUAUUAAUCGCGAAAUAGAAUUAGAUGAAUUUCAUUCUAAUACAAACAAUCUAAAUAAAAUUAAUGAUAUGCAACAAGACUUUAUCAGAUUUCCUGGAGAAGAAUAUGUUAUUGAAGAAAGUGUAAAAGAAGAAGAAAAUGAAGUUGUUUUACCGAAUAUUAAUGUACAUAAUUUAUAUUCUGUAAAUGAGAAAGAUACAAGUAGCAUUUCAGAUAAUACAAUAAAUGCACGUCAACAUGUAAGUGUAACUAGUGAGCGUACGUUUAUAAAUAAUGAAAAUACAUUACCAUCCACGAAUAUAAUUAUAAAUAGCCAUUUAGAUAAUGAUAAUUUAAUAAACGAACGUGUACAUGCAUCAGAUCCACUUGCUACCUCUAUACAUAAUAAUCAUUCCGAUAAUGAAAUAAAUAUUGAUAAUCAUAGAAGAAAUCAAGGGAUAAAUAAUGAUUUUUUACCUAAUCUUCUUAAUCAAAAUGGUUUGAUGAAUUACACUGGAAUAAAUAACAAUUAUUCUCAUGGAGAGGGUUCAAAUGAAAAUGAUUUAAAUUAUUAUGCUUUAAGUAUUAAUAAUGAAUUAAAUGCGACUAGACAAAAUAUGAAUUUAAAUAGGAGUGAUGAUGGGGCUGAGGAAGAGGAAGGAGAAAUUGUAGACGACGAUGAAGGGGAAGAUUCAGGAGAACAAGAAUUUGAUAAAACACAUUUUCUUAGUAAGUUAUUAUUUUAUGAAAUAACAUUGAAUUUAGAAGAGUAUAAUUUGAAUAGUGCUAUAAAAACAAUUUUAUUUGUAUUUUUAUUAUUAACACUUUUUAGUGUUGAAUUUAUUUUAUUAUAUAACAAUUUAUUUAAAAUAAAAUUAAAUGAUAAUAAUAUAGUGUUAAUUGAAAAUUUGUAUAAUAACACAUUUACUAACAAUUUUUUGUUACAAUUUAAUAAAAAUGAUUCGAAUAGUGUAUUAUUAACAAAUGAUAUAAUAAGAGAAGAAAUAAAAAAUAAUAAUUUUAAAUUACAUGAUGAUAUGUGUAAUGUAUUGCAAAAAUUUAAUAUGGUUUGUGACCUUAUAGAAAAUAUGCCUAAAACGGAUCAAAAUAUGAAUCACAUGAAUAAUCGUCUGUUUGAUACUGGUAUGUAUGGUUUAAAUAUUUUUAAAACUGAUAGUAUGAAAAUGGACAAUCAUAAAAAUAGUAAUGCGGUUGAUAUGACUAAUCAAAGUAGUGAUAAGAUUAGUGAAGGUGGUGGUAGGACUAAUAAAAGUGGUGAAAGAACAAAGAGAAGUAAUGAUAGGACAAAGCAGAGUGAUGAUAGGACUAGACAGAGUGGUGAUAGGACAAAGCAAUAUGGUGAUAGGACAAAGCAAAAUGGUGAUAAAACAAAGCAAAAUGGUGAUAGGACAAAGAGAAAUAAUAGUGAUAAGGAAAAACAAAGUAAUGAUAAAACAAAACAAUAUAAUGAUAAGAUUAAUAAAAAUAUUGAUAAGACUAAUAAAAAUAUUGAUUAUAAUAAACAUAAUGGACUCAAUAACUUGUCAAGUAAUAAUAGCUAUAAACAAAAUGGUAAUAUUAAUUUAUUUAGUAACAAUAGCAACGGAGUGGUAGACAAGAAAAUAACUGCACAGACUAAAAAAGUAAUCGAAAAUGACAAUAAUAAAAAAUUAAAUAUAGCCGAAAAUACUAUACGGAUAUACAAAGAAUUAAAAUCAAAUGGUAUGUUGGUUUAUAAAGUUAAUGAAGCCAUGCUAUCACCAUGUAAGAAUAUAAUGACUAAGUCGAAUGAUAAUAAUGAGCAUAAUAAAUCAAUAUUUUUAUUUGUAUCAGCAAAAAAACAUUUACAGAUAAGUGAAUUAUUUUUAUUUUUUAUUAUAUUUUUUUUUUGUGUUCAUAUAGCAUUAAUUUUAUCACGAAUAUUAUAUGAUUUUAUUUUAUUUUUAUCUUUUAAAAAUUAUCAAUUAUCAGUUGCAAGUAAAAGAAAAUAUGUAGCUAAAUAUUUAUGGUCUGUUAGCACUAUAUUAUUUCUUGGUAUUUUAUUGGGGGAUGGUUGUAUGGUAUGGUUAUCACAUGAUCUGGAUCCGAUAUUUAAUUAUUAUUUCCAAUUUUUUAUUUGGUAUAUUUCUAUAUUAUGUUUUUUAACUUAUUUAUUUUCAGAAGUGUUAAGAAUAUAUGGUGAAAAAAAUGAUAAUACCACAAGUAUUUACCUUUCUUAUUAUUUGUUAUAUAUACAUGAAUUUUUAUUUGUAAUAAAUAUACUACUAGCUUGUGUUUUUAUGUUAAUAAAUAUAAAUAAAGCAACAGUUAUUACUAUGAUCAUAACACUUAUUGUUUUAUUUAUUGAUAUUUUAAAUGAUUCGUAUUUGGAGCAGCUACAAGUAAACAAUUUACAAGAAAUUAAUCAAAAUAAACAUAAAAAGAAAAAAAUACAAAUAAUUGAAAAUAAAAAAAAAAAUGGAAAAAAACUGUUUCUAGUUCGUCUAAAUGAACAUAUAUAUCGUGAAGCUACAAAGGAUGACCUUACAAGAAUGAAUGAAAGUAAGUCUAGUAGUAAUAAACAAGAAAUGAUAAAAUGUAAUGAAAAUACAACUGGUGGUGAAAAUGGAGAUAAUAAUAGCAAACGUGGGUGUGAUAAUAAUGAACGUGAUAACGAAAACGAUAAAGUACGAGGAGAGUGGUAUGACGAAACAAAUAUUAAAAAUUUUAAUUUAAAAAAUGUUAUAAAUAUAAAUAAUAUUUUUCGAAAUUUUAGAAAUAAAAAGAACAAUAAAAACAAUAGUAGUGGGUAUUCAAAUAAAAAC